rnacentral:rRNA from 1 species
GACGAACGCUGGCGGCGUGCUUAACACAUGCAAGUCGAACGGAGAUAACUGAAUAGUAAUAUGAAGUUAUUUUAGUGGCGGACGGGUGAGUAACACGUGGGUAACCUGCCCUAUGGAGGGGGAUAACACAGAGAAAUUUGUGCUAAUACCGCAUAAUGUAGCUGAAUCGCAUGGUUUAGCUACCAAAGAUUUAUUGCCAUAGGAUGGACCCGCGGCCCAUUAGCUAGUUGGUGAGGUAACGGCUCACCAAGGCGACGAUGGGUAGCCGAUCUGAGAGGAUGAACGGCCACAUUGGAACUGAGACACGGUCCAGACUCCUACGGGAGGCAG